AUUGAACGCUGGCGGCAGGCUUAACACAUGCAAGUCGGACGGUAACAGAUUAAAAGCUUGCUUUUAAUGCUGACGAGUGGCGGACGGGUGAGUAAGGCUUGGGAAUUUGGCUAAUGGAGGGGGAUAACUACGGGAAACUGUAGCUAAUACCGCGUAGAAUCGGGAGAUGAAAGGAGUGGGACCGAAGGGCCACUUGCCAUUGGAUAAGCCCAAGUGAGAUUAGGUAGUUGGUGGGGUAAAGGCCUACCAAGCCGACGAUCUCUAGCUGGUCUGAGAGGAUGGCCAGCCACACUGGGACUGAGACACGGCCCAG
rnacentral:rRNA from 1 species